GCUGCACUAUUAAUGGGCUGCAUAGUAUUGGGCUAAAAUUCGUUAUGGGCCAAAUUCUUUCAAUAUUUUCUUAAAAAAUAAGAAAAAUGGUUUGGGCUGCAUAGUGCUAGGGCCUAAUUCCCCUCUCUUGGGCUUAAUUAAUUUUAAUUAACUUUUAAUCCCCUCUUAAGCCCAAUAAUGGUAACAAAUUUUACUAUGUUUUGGAAUGCUAAAAUUUUGGCUAAGUCCCAAACUUUACUAUGAUUAGCAAUGUCUAAAUUUUGCUAUAAUUUUGGAUCUCACAAUUUUGGCCCAGAUUUUAUAAGAUAUUGAAAAUAAGUAAGUUUUGGGCAAAAUUAGAUAAUAAGUUGAGAUAAUUUAGACUUUUGGGCUAAAAUUUUAAGGAAUUUUUCCUUAAGUCCAUUUGUGAUUAAGUAUUUUCCUUAUGUUUAUGAAUAAGCUUUUUUCAUGAUGUUUUAAUGAUUAAUUUAUAUCUAAGGUAUUUGAUUAUUUGAUUAUUAUGUUUUGCCAUUAGUAUAAUUUAAGUUUCCACCAGAAAUUAUGAAAUACUCUCCAUUUAAAUUGGAACUAUUUUUCAGUGAAGCUUUAAAUUCAGUUUAAGUCUAUUUGAGGCAUUUAUUUGUAAUGUUUAUAGCUCAACAAUGAUAAAUUACUUUCAUUAUGAAAAUAAUUUAUCUGCCACAUACUUACGUGCCACUUGAAUUGAGGCUUAAUAAUGAAGCAUCUUAUGACUCAUAAGUAUUAUCAAUUAUGUGAGCAUGUUAUACUCACAAAAUUGAUAUGCCCAUAAGUGAAUCAUAAAGUUUAAGACCCAUUUUGGGAAAACUCAAAUAAUGACAUCUUUUAAUGGCCAAUUUUCUAAGAAAUUAAAUAAUGGGCUAUAUUUGUUUGAUGUCAUUAACACUUUUGUUUACGUUUGGAAAAUGUGCAUUCCAUUAAUAACACCACUAAGGAAUUACUUAUUAUAAUGAUUGGAAUGCACAAAUUCUAAUAAUGGCUCUAACUUAUAAUUUUAUCCUAGUUUGGAAUCAAUCCAACGGAAUAUUUAGAUCCAUGAUUAGAAUUUCAAUGAUGAUUCGUGGUUGUAUUCUGACCAAAGUUGUUUACAAUCAUGGAUUAUCAUGAUUUGAUUCAUUUAUUAAUAAAGAAUAUUAUUCUUAAGCCAUGCAUACUUAGUGAGUCCAGUUUUAGACAUAAAUCUUAAUAGCUGGCUUUUGAAUAUUUUUUUAAGUUGAGCCACAAAUAACGUUGAUAAGAAUGUCAGGGAAACACUAAGUUUUCUCUGAUAAGUGAGAAUUUGCUCAAAAGAGUAUUGGCAUAACGUAACCGAUUAUAUGACUUUCGACUACAUACUGAACAAAGUUGUUUGUAGCCACAUGUCAUUCUCAUCCUGAAGAUUAUGAUUAAUUUUGUGACUCAUGACUAUAUACUGACCAAAGUUAUUUAUGGUCAUGUGUCACUAAAAUUGAUUGUGUUAUUAAGUUGCCAGCUCUAGAGCAAUUAUGGGUAUAAUUAUAAAUUAAGAUAGACUGAACUAUUGAUGACUAAUGUCAAUAAUGAUUAUGUUUAUACAAAAUUAAGAAAUCUCUUAUUAAGAAAAAUCAAAGAAGUACCUUAGUUAAUGAUUCAGUUAUGAGAAAUUAUGUUGAAAGGCACAUGGGUCAUUUCCAAUAAAGUUUCCGCUGCAAAAGAAAUAACACUCUGGUUAAGUGUGGCAUACAUUCAUCAUUCUGUCCAAAGCUGAUUGGUGAAUGUGUGACUGCAAAAUUUUGUUAUUCCGGUUCAUCUUCUAGCCAAAGCUGAUUUUGAAUCGGAGUAAUGAAAGGAGUUUAUAUCUAAUAUUAAGUGUGGAUUGUGUUUAUCAUUCUGGCCAAAGCUGAUUUGGGUUAUGAUUCAACAAAAGAAGUUUUAUGCACAUGAUAUUAAGUGUGGCUUGUACUUAUUCUUUUGGCCAAAGCUGAUGAAUAAGUACUGGUUCACAAAAUUCUGUUGUUCUUUUCCAUUUCUGGCCAAAGUUGAUUUUGACUAGUUCAAUAGAAGAAGUUUGUGCUGAUACUUGCUAAAGUAUUCAAUAAAACCUCUAAAGAUCAAAAACUAAUGAGUGGCACUAAGCAAUUAAAUGAGAGUAUCUAUGCCUCAUGGAAAGAACAUCUGUUUAUGGAUGCAAAAUCAAACUUAUGAAUUUUCCCUAUUGAUGAUAAGAAUUAAUUAAGUCAUAAGUUUCUAAUAUGGUUGUUUUAAAUACCACUAUUAGAAGUGAAGUGCUUUUACCAGCACCUCAUUAAUUCUUAAGAUCAUAACUAAGAUGGCACAUACAAGUGUCAUAAGAGGUGUAGUUCCCAUUAGAAAAGUUCAAUACUAAGGAUAUUGAUGAAAAAUUAAUGAUUUUAUUGGUCAUCAAUAUCUAAUGGGUAUAUAUUAAGAUAGGUCACUUAUGGACAAAUAUCCGAAUCAAGGGGAGCAAUCCCUCAAUUCUAGAUAAAUGUAAGAAUCAGGGGAGUAAUCCUCAAGAUAAGUUAUGUUAAAGAGCACAUUUUACAUUAAUGGUGAGUUAUUUCCUUCAUUGUGUAUCAAUAAGGAUAGGAUAAUGUGAUAUGCCUCUGGGCAUAAUUAAGAUCAAAGAAAAUGAGACUAAGGUAAUAAGAUGAGUCUCUAAGUAAUAAAAAUCCUAAGUUCUAAAGAAUUGUAUUUAUGAAAAGGAAGAUAAUGUCAUUAGAUUCCAUUAGUAUAAAAUUAUGUUUAUUUCUAAUAUAUACAUUCAUGUUACUUUUAUAUGUUGUAAUAAGGAUAAACAAACAAAUAAAUAAAGGUUCUUCGAAAUAUGGUACUAUUGCAUAAACCACAUUUCGAAGGGGAGAGUGGAACCUUCAUUAAGAAAAUAUUUUCCACCUCUUUAUGUCAGGUAAGAAUUAAAUAUUGAGAAAAAUAUUAAGAUAAGUUUAUCAUGUGUUAGUUUCUUAUGUGUCAUUUAAUUGACAAUGUUAUUCUUAUUAUGAGCUAUAUGCUAGCCUUAGAAAUGAAUAUUAUUUCAGUAUCAUAUCUCACCACUAAUAUCGCUAAGUUGAGAAUUAGAUGGGAGCUCUAAAGCAAGGAAAAAUAAUAUUAAAGGAAAAUUAGUUAAGCUCACUUAUGAAAACUUGCUUUAGCUCCUUGUGGUGCUUUUGUGCCCACAUGAAGAUUUUUGAUCAAUCCCACUUAAAGUGAAAGGCAUAUAUAUAAGAAAAAGGGAUUGAUUAUGUUAUAUAAGAUAAAAAGAAUUGAUGACGCUUGUUGCUCAUCAUUUGAAAAAACUAUCGAGUCCAUAAGUGAUACAUAAGUACAAAAGGAAAUAAGUUAAUUAAGUUUUAAACAAUAGGGAUAUUGUGUACAUAAGAUUCAGAUUUUCUUUUAUCUGGAUACUAAGAUUGUCUUGGUGAUAUCUCUUAAGUUUUGAACAAUAAUGUUCACCAAG